AGUUUAGAGUUUUGUCUCCCUUUUGUAAUCUUUGUGGAACAAUGCUUGAUUUUAGAAUUUAGAGUCACCAAGUAGAGAGUCAGAUUCUUGAUAAUGUAUGUGUGUAAAACCUUGAACUCGUCUUUGUUUUGCUUAACAGUUAGCUGCGGUUCGGAUGAUCCCAUGGGCUAAGGCUAACCUCAACUACACUGCUCAAGCACUCAUUGUUUCUUCAGCCUCCAUCGCUGCGUUCUUCAUAACUGCUGACAAAACCAUUCUACAUGGUGCAA